AAAUCUGGUGGCUAGAUAUGACUUUGCUCAUGUUUCUUCCACCUUUGAUGAUCUUCCCUUGUUCUUCAAUGAACAUGGAUGAAGGGAAUAUGUUCUGAGUGGA
rnacentral:snoRNA from 8 species